UUCUGUUGUUAACAUUAUCUUCUUUAUUUCAGGAACCUGCUGCUGUUAUUGAAGAGUUCUAGUUGAGCUGUUCUUCUACAAUUCCCGUGUGUUCUUCCUUCGAUUGAACCCGAUGCUCUUUUUUCCUUCUCGGCCAUGGCUUACAAACAAUGCAACGCAGCCAGCAACAUAUGAGUCUGUUUCAUUGCUUUUUUAAAAAUCUCCAGGCUGGAUAAAAAUAGACUCAGGUUUUGCUUGCUAUCUUUAUUUUUGUUUUUGCAGGGUUGUGUUUCGUUGUGCUUACAUUCUCUUUGGAAGCUGCAAAGACAGUGACAUGGUCUUCUUAUCGUUGCUCGCAGUCCUGACAAAGUGGUAGAAUGACACCCUCUUACCUGCAAGGAGCAGAACUUCAACCUUGGUUAGGACUGCUGCAGAUUACUUCAUCGUUGUGCUUGCAACUGUUUCUUCUCAGAGUUUCUCAAUUGCGAGAAGAAGGAUUUAGACCCGGAGCAAUACCUCAAUAAAGGCCAGCAAAUCACUUGCUGUGUGACCUCGGAAUGUAAGUGC